UACGUAGGGGGGCAAGCGUUGUCCGGAAUCAUUGGGCGUAAAGCGCGUGUAGGCGGCUCGAUAAGUCUGCUGUGAAAGUCCAAGGCUCAACCUUGGGAUGCCGGUGGAUACUGUCGAGCUCGAGUCCGGAAGAGGAGUGUGGAAUUCCUGGUGUAGCGGUGAAAUGCGCAGAUAUCAGGAGGAACACCAAUGGCGAAGGCAGCACUCUGGGACGUGACUGACGCUGAGACGCGAAAGCGUGGGGAGCGAAACAGG
rnacentral:rRNA from 1 species